GUGUAUGAAAUUUUGGGUGUACAGUUAAUUAUUUAGUCGCACCAGAAGGAAAAAAAUGGAAAUCGAGAGACACAUAAAGCAUGCUGGACAACAUAUGGUAGAGCCAAAAAUUGUAUUCUAUUUUGUCUCUCAGUAAAGUAACUUGGUGAAAACCUUGAAAAACUGGCGUUGAGAAACAAACACUUUAGUGUCCACUACUUUGCGCUGAUGGAUCUGCAAACCAGUUUGGAGCAUGCGUGGUGUUCUUGUUUUUGUUCUUGUUUUUUUAUAUGUAUUUUUUGCCAACGUCUACCUCAUAAAGUUGCAAAAAUGAAGCAAAAACCCUACAAAAUAUUUUUUUGGCAGAAACAUAUACACAGAACUGCUAAUCUCACAGUCCAUCCGGACUACAUAAACAUCGCAUCGAAUGAAGUGUUCCCCCUAAAGAUACACGUGGAAAAAAAUGCUGUACAAGAAGUUUCGGCAGCAGUUUUAAUGUUGGCAGGGGCCUCAGAGGAAAGCUUUCAGAAGAAGAACUGCUGUGGAUGAGACAACAAAGGAAAUCCUAAAUGUCUGCACAAUGAUAUGGGAAUUUUGUUGGUUUCUGGGGAAGGGUCACUAAAGUGGAAAAUAUGUAUGUGACUCACACAUUAUGGACAUGUGAUGCUCAUUAAAACUAUUCACAAAGCCUAACAGGUUAACACUCAUCCUUUAGUAAAACAUACUGUACCUAACAUGUAGCUAUAUACUGAAUACACUCCUACUAAGCCACUAACACUUACUAUAGUUCUGCUAGUGGUGUCCCUUAAAUGUGUACAGUUUGUGCGGCCCUGACCUCACAUUGUUCCUAAUCCAACACAGACCCCACAUGUUCCUUCUUCUUGGCAGGGGCCUGGAGCCCACCCCCUACAGCCUCCCAGGAGCCCGCACCAGGGUGUAGCCUCGCGAUCAGAAAUUCUAAAAGGGGGGCGGCGCCGUAAAACCACUGAGAAAUACGCCAUAGCUUACCACACUGUGAUGUUAAGGAGGAAUCUGGCUGUACUUAGAGAGUGCAACCAACUGUCUCCAGGGAAGAAAAUAACCACACAACCAGGAUUUUAGGAAAAGUGACAGGGUUCUGUAGACGGUGUGUCUCCUGCUCUUAAUCAAGGCCAUAUGGAAAGGAGUGCAGUGAGUCAAAUAGAGCUAAAGUGUCCAGUCAACAUCUAAGGAAAGAGCAGCCGGUGACAAUGGCUCAGUGCUCAGUCUGGAAAUAAUUUAGCCUGCAGAUAUCAGCAUAAUUUUCUUUAGUGUGUUCAGCCUUCUGAAAGA